rnacentral:rRNA from 1 species
AACGAACGCUGGCGGCAUGCCUAACACAUGCAAGUCGAACGAAGCCUUCGGGCUUAGUGGCGCACGGGUGCGUAACGCGUGGGAAUCUGCCCUUGGGUUCGGAAUAACAGUUAGAAAUGACUGCUAAUACCGAAUGAUGUCUUCGGACCAAAGAUUUAUCGCCCAAGGAUGAGCCCGCGUCGGAUUAGCUAGUUGGUGAGGUAAAGGCUCACCAAGGCGACGAUCCGUAGCUGGUCUGAGAGGAUGAUCAGCCACACUGGGACUGAGACACGGCCCAGACUCCUACGGGAGGCAGCAGUGGGGAAUAUUGGACAAUGGGCGAAAGACCUGAUCCAGUGAUGCCGCGUGAGUGAAG